UAUUCUAUCCAGUUUGCGUUUAGUUGGACCAUCAUUUAUUUUUCAUCAGGACAAUGACCCCAAACACCUCCAGGCUGUGUAAGGGCUAUUUGACCAAGAAGGAGAGUGAUGGGGCGCUGCACCAGAUGACCUGGCCUCCACAGUCACCGGACCUGAACCCAAUCGAGAUGGUUUGGGGUUGUGCUGGACCGCAGAGUGAAAGCAAAAGGGCCAACAAGUGCUAAGCAUCUCUCGGAACUCCUUCACGACUGUUGGAAGACCAUUUCAGAUUCUACAGAUGUCUUUCUAGGAGCUUCUAGAAACCAUUUAUGUUGCUACUGUUAGUAUCACACAUAUCACUUUUAGCAGCAAUGUCAUAUUGUCGCCGUAGUCAGCCUCAUACCCCUGUGUCUUCCACACCUGCUCCCCUGCACGCUGUACCCCGCAUGUUCACGUGAACAAUAAAGAAGCUAUCACAAGCAAGUCUGGCAUCUUCCCUGCUUUGCAUGUGAUCCCAGACUUCAACGGAGGCCUGCUGGGGUUGGAGAAACGGAA